ACUCCCAAGGGAUCUUGUUAAAAUGCAAAUUCUGAUUCAGUAAGUCUGGGUGGUAUCUUAGAGUUUGCAUUUCUAACAAGCUCCCCAGUGAUGCUGA
rnacentral:pre_miRNA from 1 species